GAUGAAGAACGCAGCGAAAUGCGAUAAGUAAUGUGAAUUGCAGAAUUCAGUGAAUCAUCGAAUCUUUGAACGCACCUUGCACUCCUUGGUAUUCCGAGGAGUACGCCUGUUCGAGUGUUAUGAAGCUCUCAAAACGCAAUUGGCUUAAAACCUGAUUGUUGUCUUGGAUUUGAACUUUGCCGUGUUAUAACGGCUGGUUUUAAAAGUAUUAGCUGGUACUAGAACGAAUUGGUUCUACUCAACGUGAUAAUUAUCUGAUCGUUGAGGACAUUCCUUUCACGAGGAAUGGCCAUAGUAAAUUCAAUGGACUGCUUCUAAUCUGGCUUUAAUUCUUUAUUGGAUUAACCACUUUUCAAAUCUGACCUCGAAUCAGGUGGGACUACCCGCUGAACUUAAGCAUAUCAAUAAGCGGAGGA
rnacentral:misc_RNA from 1 species